AGAAAAAGUCAUACUGUCCUGGCUGCGCCUGCUUGCACCUCAUUACUGAGUAGCUAAGUAGGCUCAGGCCUGGCUGGUACUUGGAUGAGAGAAACUGAGAUUAACAGUUGCUUGUA
rnacentral:rRNA from 1 species